rnacentral:rRNA from 1 species
UACGAAGGGGGCUAGCGUUGCUCGGAAUUACUGGGCGUAAAGGGUCUGUAGGCGGCCAACUAAGUCAGACGUGAAAUCCCUCAGCUUAACUGGGGAACUGCGUCUGAUACUGGAUGGCUCGAGUGUGGGAGAGGAAUGCGGAAUUCCAGGUGUAGCGGUGAAAUGCGUAGAUAUCUGGAGGAACACCGGUGGCGAAGGCGGCAUUCUGGACCACAACUGACACUGAGAGACGAAAGCCAGGGGAGCAAACGGG